rnacentral:lncRNA from 1 species
UGGGGAGGCGGGAUUGUCGUUGCUGGCUGUUACCAGGACAACCGGAGGCGAUUGACCGUUAUCUGCGGUUUGCAGCCGUUAGCGGGAGAGGCAGAGAAGUUCAGAGGUGAAAUGAAGUGUGGCCCAGUGGCUCCUCAUUGUCGCUUCUCUAGUUUUCUGCCUCCUUUUAGAAAAUUUGAGAUAAUUUAGGGAAACCAUUUUGUGUCCUGCAUAUAUGGGCGAAUACAAUAUAAUUUUGGUAUCAAUAGCAACAAAGAAGGCAUUGAAGACUUUAAAUCUGUUUACAGUGAAUUGAGAAGACAGGAUGAAGUGGACACAGCAUGUGAAGACAAUUCUUUCAAGAAGUUUGGCUGUCAAGGAAAAUAGAGAAUGUGAGUAGCUGAAGGAGAAUGACAGGUGAAAGAA